GUGUCAGCCGCCGCGGUAAUACGUAGGGUGCGAGCGUUAAUCGGAAUUACUGGGCGUAAAGCGUGCGCAGGCGGUUUUGUAAGCCAGUCGUGAAAUCCCCGGGCUUAACCUGGGAAUGGCGAUUGGGACUGCAAGGCUUGAGUAUGGCAGAGGAGACUGGAAUUCCUGGUGUAGCAGUGAAAUGCGUAGAUAUCAGGAGGAAUACCGAUGGCGAAGGCAGGUCUCUGGGCUGAUACUGACGCUCAUGCACGAAAGCGUGGGGAGCAAACAGGAUUAGAAACCCCCGUAGUCC
rnacentral:rRNA from 1 species